CUGCCGUACUAUCGGUGCGCGGGUUGGGGAGGGACGGGCGGGCGGCGCGGCGCGGGGUGGGGCGGUGCGAUGCCUAUAAAAGGCCGGGGCCGCGCGUGUGGGGCGGCAAUGGCGGCUCUCGGGCCCGGCUGCGGUUGCACAGCCCGCGUGAGGAGCCGGCGCAGCAGCCCGGCCCUGGGCAGCCCGGCAGCCGCCGGGCCCGCCGGCAGCAGGCGGGCAGCGGAGGGGCCCGGCGGGCUCCGCUCCGGCCGUGUGUGAUGAAGGAGAGAGGGCGGGCGUCUGGCGACGGUGCCUUGUUGUGGUGCCGUGCGCCUUGGUAACCCUGCCUGGGCUGGAUUAGCCGUGCUGUGGCUGCCGGCUCGUUUCGGUUUCCUGACUGGUUUCUAACCAUUUUUUUCCCUCUGGAUUUGUGUGUAUUUUCUCGGCUGGUGUGCCCACUCGUGUUUGUGCUGCCUUUUGCUAAUACAACGAUAAUGCCCUUUAGUUCGGGCUUUAGACAAGUGCAUGAGGCUUUUCCUCCUUUAUUCUAUUUGUUGUGUUGGUGCUCAGCUGAUGGCCUCAGAGCAGGGAAGAGAAGUAAACGGAGCUAGCUGUGAUCUUUUUCCUUUUCAGGAGUCACUUAAUAAAAUGGAUGGCACAACCUAAGCAGUAAGGAAGAGACCAUCUCUUUGUGGGCUUGCUCAGGAAUCUGCUUCUAAUGUUGUGAAGAAAGGGGUCAGUAGUGAGAAGCGAUGCUGCUUUCAGUCCUGAAGGCAGGAAGACAAAAGUGGUUGCACCAUCAGCACAUGAAUACAACUGCCUUCACUUCCAAUCUGGAGAGCAGGUUUGAUGCCCUAAAACAGAAUCCAUAGUGUUGGUGUGGACUGGUGCAGAGGCAAAAUGAUUAUAUUCUAAUCAUGCUCCAUGGAAGGCAAGGAAAAAGCCAGCUUUGAGCAAAAUAUCCAUAUCUCUUGUGGCAGAGAUCCAGGAGGUAGCUACCUCUGCUGCAGGUUAGAAUUUAGAUUCAGAUGGAAGCACUUGACUCCCAAAGCUGUGUCCUCAACCAGCAAAUAGGAGAUACACGAUAGAAUUGGCAGAAUUGCAUUGCUCUGAGCACUUUUGGAGACAUAUGCUGCUUUUCCCACUCCUGGAAGUAAUCCCACUGAUGCCUCAUGAUUAUUCACUUGAGUCAUGGCUGCAGAGUUGACUUUUUGGUGGUUUGGAUUCCCAGAUUUUAACAGAAAACCUGCCGGGUUGAAAACAGCGGGGACGCGUUUAACCAAACCCCAAUGCUUCGAACGCAAACUAAACCGCCUGAUGGCUCAGAACGCAGUUUGUAAGAGGAGACAUCCGCAGGGAGGAAGAGCCGCGGAGCCCGGCGCGGUGCCGGGGUCGGUGCCGGUGCCGCUCCGUGGGGACGCGUCCCGGACACCAGGUGGCGCUGGCCCGCCCGCCUGGCCGCGGCUGCGCUGCCCGGCCGGCGUUUGUUUUGGAAAGGAAGCCGAGCUAGACAGCAACAUCUCUGCCCCGCUUGGGCCGGAGCGCAUUUUUUGGGUUUUUUUUUAGCGAAAUCGCUCCGGGGAGUCUGGGUGUUGUUUUCUUGGCUGAGGUUGCUGGAGCGGGGCAUCGCCUGAGUGCCAUUGCUGAGCGGCGCUUCUGCCCGGUUCGUGCGCUCCGUGAGAAACGUGGGAGCGCGGAGCCCGUGCCCAGCGCUGCGCUGCUUUCGUAUCUGGGCUAUCGACAGAGUAAUGGCUUUUCACCUGCCCCCCAGAGAAGGAUCUGAACCCUGACCCCAGCAGCGCUUUGAAGUCUUCCCUGACAGACAAAGAUGAAGCUUGAGGUAUCAAAAUGUCCUGGGAGGGACGUGACCCUUCAGUGAACAGGGACCUGAUGGGGUGGGCUUGUUGCAGGGGGCUGGAGAUGGAGAGGAGGGUGACUCUGCAUGGAAGUGUGGCUGCUCUGGAGCUCCUGUAAUUGCAAAUUGUAGCUGAGGGCAGGGGAGAAGCCAGGAGGAUGUGUGGGGCAGUGUAUCAUUUCCUGGUGUCAUUGCAGAAGAUUAAGAAAUAUGCUUUAAUGGGAAAAGGGGUUGUCUUUGGAAACACGUGGAUGCACAUGUGUUUCUUGAAUCUAAAAGAAAAGGAGUUGACGAUUUCCACUAUGGUAUUUUGAUUCCAAGAGAGACACUGGCCUUCAUAAGAAGUAAAGAAACAAGGCUUACUGUGAUUCUUUCUUCCUGUGAAGCUUUCAGCAGAAGAAAUAGAAAGUAUGGAAAGGCAAAUAAGAGGCUGUGAUAUAGGAGAAGAUUAAUUCAGAUCACAUAGCACAUAAGGGUGUUCCCAAAGUUCAGGACAUUCUUUUAGGAACAUCCCCACAUAAAAAGGAAGCAUCAAAUGCCUUAACCAAACUAGAUCAGUCUUCACGACAUCACAUGUCUGUGAGCAUUUAACAUCCUUGCUGCUGCAUUGUAACUGCACUGUCCUGUUGCAUGGAUGUGUCCCAAGCAUAAAAGUUGAAGAGAUAAACAUUUCAUCUUUAUUGAAGUGUAGGCUGUAUGAAAAAUGUUAAAAAAGACCUUGGGGCUUUUUUUUCUCAGAGAGCCAGUAUACAUGAGAUAAUGUCAGGUGCAAAGAAAAAAUCUUAUAUUUGCAGUGAGAAUGUUUCAAGCAAAAUGUUUCCAUCUGAACCCAGGAAAAAGACAGAGGAAUGAUAACAGCAGAUUUCUUGUCAGAGAUCAGCUGUCAGAAUGAACAGAUAAUGCUUACUUAAUGGCAUCCAAAAUAGAAAUCCUCCAGAUCAAUCUGCACAGUCCCUAUAAAAAUAACAAAA